GGCCCGGAUAUUGCUGAAUCUAUCGUACAGGUAGCCAACGGCGGUUGCCCCUUCACGACAAAGACGUCGC
rfam:Pseudomonas alkylphenolica strain KL28 chromosome, complete genome.